UACGUAGGGGGCAAGCGUUGUCCGGAAUCACUGGGCGUAAAGGGCGCGUAGGUGGCGCGACAAGUCAGUGGUGAAAGCUCGAUGCUUAACAUCGAGUCGGCCACUGAUACUGUUGGGCUUGAGCACUGUAGAGGCUAAUGGAAUUCCGGGUGUAGCGGUGGAAUGCGUAGAGAUCCGGAAGAACACCGGUGGCGAAGGCGGUUAGCUGGGCAGUUGCUGACACUGAGGCGCGACAGCGUGGGGAGCAAACAGG
rnacentral:rRNA from 1 species